UACGAAGGGGGCUAGCGUUGCUCGGAAUCACUGGGCGUAAAGCGCACGUAAGCGGCUUUUUAAGUCAGAGGUGAAAUCCUGGAGCUCAACUCCAGAACUGCCUUUGAUACUGAGAGGCUUGAGUCCGGGAGAGGUGAGUGGAACUGCGAGUGUAGAGGUGAAAUUCGUAGAUAUUCGCAAGAACACCAGUGGCGAAGGCGGCUCACUGGCCCGGUACUGACGCUGAGGUGCGAAAGCGUGGGGAGCAACAGGG
rnacentral:rRNA from 1 species